rnacentral:rRNA from 1 species
GACGAACGCUGGCGGUGUGCUUCAUACAUGCAAGUCGAACGAUAAGGCCCUUUCGGGGGUACAUAAGUGGCGGACGGGUGAGUAACACGUAGAAAAUCUGCCUCAAGGAGGGGGACAACACCGGGAAACUGGUGCUAAUACCCCAUAUGUGGUAAGUUGAAACACUUAUCAUGAAAGUUCCGGCGCCUUGAGAUGAGUCUGCGUCUGAUUAGCUUGUUGGUGGGGUAAAUGCCUACCAAGGCGAUGAUCAGUAGCUGGUUUGAGAGGAUGAUCAGCCACAAUGGGACUGAGACACGGCCCAUACUCCUACGGGAGGCAGCAGUAGGGAAUUUUGCGCAAUGGGCGAAAGCCUGACGCAGCAACACCGCGUGAGUGAUGACGCCCUUUGGGGUGUAAAGCUCUGUCAGUAGGGAAGAAUUUGACUGUACCUACAGAGGAAGCAUCGGCUAACUACGUG